rnacentral:rRNA from 1 species
UACGUAGGGAGCAAGCGUUGUCCGGAAUCAUUGGGCGUAAAGCGCGCGUAGGUGGCUUCGUAAGUCCGUUGUGAAAGUCAAAGGCUCAACCUUUGAAAGCCGAUGGAUACUGCGGAGCUAGAGUACGGAAGAGGCGAGUGGAAUUCCUGGUGUAGCGGUGGAAUGCGCAGAUAUCAGGAGGAACACCGGUGGCGAAGGCGGUGAUCUGGGCCAGUACUGACGCUGAGGAGCGAAAGCGUGGGUAGCAAACAGG